UACGUAGGGGGCAAGCGUUGUCCGGAAUCAUUGGGCGUAAAGAGCGUGUAGGCGGUCCGGUAAGUCGGCUGUGAAAGUCCAGGGCUCAACCCUGGGAUGCCGGUCGAUACUGCCGGACUAGAGUUCGGAAGAGGCGAGUGGAAUUCCCGGUGUAGCGGUGAAAUGCGCAGAUAUCGGGAGGAACACCUAUGGCGAAGGCAGCUCGCUGGGACGUUACUGACGCUGAGACGCGAAAGCGUAGGGAGCAAACAGG
rnacentral:rRNA from 1 species